rnacentral:rRNA from 1 species
UACGUAGGGGGCAAGCGUUGUCCGGAAUCAUUGGGCGUAAAGCGCGUGUAGGCGGUCCGGUAAGUCCGCUGUGAAAGUCGGGGGCUCAACCCUCGGAUGCCGGUGGAUACUGUCGGGCUUGAGUACGGAAGAGGCGAGUGGAAUUCCUGGUGUAGCGGUGAAAUGCGCAGAUAUCAGGAGGAACACCAAUUGCGAAGGCAGCUCGAUGGGACGUUACUGACGCUGAGACGCGAAAGCGUGGGGAGCAAACAGG